UUUGUCAUUCGGCGAAAAUUU
rnacentral:piRNA from 1 species